CGGGAGAUGGAUGACUUGUCAGACAAAGGCAAUAGAUUCCAACACUCUCUGAUUCGCCAGCGCACGGAGCCGGAGCCUGGGCGAGGAGGGACGGGAUUUAGGAAGUAUUUCAGAAACAGGGCUAACACGGAAAGACGUGGCUUUGACCUAAAAAGGCAACAGAAACACAGGAGAGAAGCGCCUACCUGCGGGUAGGCAUACCCGUACGAAGAGGUGACAAUUUGCUGUGAGCUCAAUUUUUGUUUCCUUAUGAGUUUAUCAUCGUGUGAAAUAUUAUUCUUUUCUUCUCUUCCUUUCUCGGUUCAUCCUCUCCCACCUCUCUGCUUAUCUGUCACAAAACAGCCCCUUUGUUUUCUAACUGGUUAAGUAAAGAAUCUCCGAGAGAUCUUUAUGAAAUAUUUUCCACCAUCUCAUAAAUCAUUUUGGCACUUCAGCUGAUGUUUUAUCUCUCUCUCUCUCUCUUUCUCCCCCUCCCUCCCUCUGCCUCUCUUUCCUCUGUGCUUGGAAAGGGUGAUUAAAAAAAUCUUUUUGACACUAUAUAUGGUUACACGCAGAGAAAGGCAGCAAUCCACGUUUCUAGAGGCUACAUCUGAAAAAGCUUAAGUAAUGCAAUUGCAGCUCAGGUAUCCAGACAACACCGCCUGAACCUUGGCUGUUCGAGUUCAUUUUUCUUUUGCUUUUUAAUGGUGAUCUGGGGUGUUUGUCUUUCUGACUAGCAGUCUGCUGCUACUACUACUGCUACUGUUAUUAUUCCUAUUCAUAUUAUUAGUACAAGUGUGCCCGUCUGCCUGGGGUUUUGGAGACAGCCAUGGGGCAUAUUUCCACCAGACACAAAGUUUGGAGGUCCCCUGAGCGCGAUGCUGGAAGCUCUGCCGUAUUUUGUCAGUGCAGCAGGGCUCUACAGACCGCCCGCGCCUCCUUUUAAGGCGAGAGGUACCUGCCUGGCUUUCUGCUGCCCCUUUGGCCUGUAGCUCCCCCCUCCUCCGCACUUCACAGCCCGCGUGUUUACACCGGCCUUUCUGCAAGUCACCGCGUCCCACUGUAACCUCAGCGCCACGCACUCCCCAGCCCACGCCGCCUCUUGACCCUGCUGCCCUUUUCCCUUCUCCUCCUACUUCCAAGGCUGCUCUUCCCCUGCCAGGCGGCUGAAGCAGCGGAUCAAAGGGGAAGCCCCCCUCCCCCCCCGCAGGCGCUCGGGCCGCUCGGGCAGGUGAAGCCGGCCGGGCUGGGGAGCGAGCCGGGGGAGGGCGCGGCGAGGCCGGGAAGCGCCCUUCCCGGGCGCGGCCUGUAGAUGGCGCUCUGCGGUUUGGUUUGCGCGCGGAUCCCGGCUGACACGGCGCAACUUCCAGCGCGGGGGAAAGUUUCGGGCGAAGCGGGUUUGAGCUUCAUCCGCCGCCACCCACUGGCCGCGGCCAGCGCCUGGGACCCGGCGGACACGCACCUGCCGGCACCGGCCGAGAGGCCCCGGGCGGCUCCCGCACAUGCAGGCGCUUCUCUCCCGCGGCAGCAACUUGGAUUUGGUACGAAACCGCUCAUUGUCCUGCCUUUAACCCCUUCUCUCCCACCGGGGGCUGCGGGCUACUAACACAGCCCUUCUCGGAGAGAGAAAAGCCGGUGGCGUCCAGUCUGCUCCAGCGGUCCUCCCCCACCCCCCGGGAUCAGCUCCAACACGGGACAAACCUGUGGCCACAAUGACACUGCCCUGGGACAGUCCCAGACCCGAGCCUCGAGGAGGAAAGACUAAUUCUGCAAUAUCAUAUCAGUCUCUAACCACUCCCCCCCUGCAGGUCCACUCCCCGGGAACUUCCUCACUGUCCUGCUCCCCCGCGCAGGCUUUACCGCGGGGAGGAUUCACUUUGUCUUGACAAAGAUGCUCCGGGGCUUUAAAACUGUUGACUGUAUGUUAAAGAGACAACAACUUUGACGAGGCGCAGAGAGGAGAGGCAGAAGAUACAUUUCUCCCUGAGCUUGCCUGGUUGUUACCGCUCGGCCCUAUGACCCUCUAGUCCCCUACCCCGCUCUUGCCCCAGCAGGAAAAAUAAAAGAGCAGACGGCAAAAUCAAAUCCGAAUGAAACGAGGAACCUGGAAGCGAUCUAGAAGGGUGGCCGCGCAGGGGUGUUGCGGGGUUGAACGAAAUCAGCUUCUGAUGUAGGUAAAUCGGGGCAAUUUUCUCAUGUGGACACGAGGGAAUUUGGUGUCUCCCCAAGAAGGAGAAGGGGGGCAAAGCUCCAGAAGAGCUCUCUAUCUCCCCCUCUUCCCCAUCCACACGCACCACGGGAUCACCUGGUGCCCCCUCGCCUCCCAGGAAGAAUUGCUUUGUCAACAGUCAAAUCCACAGACCAAUUUCUGUGCCCAAGG